GAAAGUAUGUGUUCUAUAGAACACAUACUUUCUGAUGUACCUACUAGCUGAAACCCCACACUUCCAUCCCCAUUAAUUUAAUUUUAAUUAUCCUGUGUUCUCUGUAGUGUUAAGUUUCCUUUGUAUUGAAAGCAGUCACAAUUGUCAUGUUUCCUAUGUAGUGUUAAGUUUCCUUUGUAUUGAAAGCAGACACAAUUGUCAUGUUUCCUAUGUAGUGCUAAGUUUCCUUUGUAAUGGACAGAAGACACAGUCCUCCUGUGUCCUCUAUAGUGUUACGUUUCCUUUCUGAUGGACAGGAGACAAAGUUCUCAUGUGUCUUUGUAGUGUUAUGUUUCCUUUCUGAUGGACAGGAGACACAGUCCUCCCUUAUCCUCUGUAAAGACACCUUUCAGUCUUGGCCUCACCUCCUUCUGCACUGUGAGGAUCAGCUCACAGCAUCUAAGACAUGACAAAGACUGUAGCACCAACUGAACUGUCAAUCAACCGAGGACCCAUCACAGUUAGACCCCAUAGGGACACAUUUGACUUCCUGCCUGUCCCCGUCAUUCUUCAAAGCAAAGGACGAGAAAACACCUGCCUGUCUUCGCCUCACUUCCUGUCUGGCUCUGAGAUUCGGGAUCAGCUCAUACCGACCAGGACAUCCUGCCACCACUGCAGAGCAGAUGUUGAAGCACCGUGUUAACUGUUCAUCAUCAGUGGACACUUACUGGACCACAGAGACACGUGUUCUCCCUGCCAGUGUUGAGGUUUCUUCACAACAGAUAAUAAGGUCUUCCUCCUCUGUGAUUCCUCCACUUCACAGUGAAGACACUCAGGACUCCAGAGAGCGCUGAACACAAAAGAAGCUGAACAUCAUGCAGCGUAUUCAGUUUCACUGGACCUAUAUGUUGAUCUGCUCUGCAGCAGAGUUCAAGUAUCAGGUGUGUGACUGCAAGGAAGAGUCAUCAGUCAGUCAUCACUGUCCCAGUGAAAACCUCACCUUUAUGCAGCUUCAAGCUCCUCCCUAAACCAGCUGUAAAGGCCUCUCCUCCUCCAUGUAGCUAUAGUAACACUAUCCUGAUGUGAUAACUGGAGCAGUGGAUCUACAGCCACUGCACAGGUCAAAGGUCAUAAUGUUACAGGUCUUCAGAGCAUACACUACUAACUCAUGAACAGUAUUACUACAGGACACCUGUCUAUUUUGUUUGUUUCAUCUCUACCGUAUUUGAUCUAACAAUAUACGUUUUCCUUAUGUUUCAUCGCAUUUUUUUUUGUUGAUUGUAUUUAUUUAUUUAUUAUUUUUUUAUUUGUCAUCCGUCCCUUUUCAGUCAGAUUUAUGAGAAAAUUAAGGAUGAAAAUGUUUGUUUGAUUGCCUCGUGCAUAUGAACAAAUUAACCUUGAAGAAAUGACAUAUUUGUAUCACAAUGAGUCAUUAGUAUGGGGUUUCAGCUGGUAGGUAUAUUAAAGGUUUUUCACAUGUGUACACCGAUCCUUAGGAUAACCUAAACUCUACUGAGGCUGCCCAGUGUUAAAUUGUAAGACUGUGAAAUCCAUCAAGUGUUUCAUCUUCAGAUGGCUAAAACAUGACUUGGUGCAAAGAGCCUUGUCAAAAGAUUUAAUAGGAAAACAAAUCCUACAAAGCUUGGGUCCUAACCUU